GCUGGCGGCAGGCCUAACACAUGCAAGUCGAACGGAGUUAUAUUGUAGCUUGCUAUGGUAUAACUUAGUGGCAGACGGGUGAGUAAUGUAUAGGAAUCUACCUAGUAGUACGGAAUAAUUGUUGGAAACGGCAACUAAUACCGUAUACGCCCUACGGGGGAAAAAUUUAUUGCUAUUAGAUGAGCCUAUAUUAGAUUAGCUAGUUGGUGGAGUAAUAGCCUACCAAGGCAAUGAUCUAUAGCUGAUCUGAGAGGAUGAUCAGCCACACUGGAACUGAGAUACGGUCCAGACUCCUACGGGAGGCAGCAGUGGGGAAUAUUGGACAAUGGGCGAAAGCCUGAUCCAGCCAUGCCGCAUGAGUGAAGAAGGCCUUUGGGUUGUAAAGCUCUUUUAGUGAGGAAGAUAAUGACGGUACUCACAGAAGAAGUCCUGGCUAACUCCGUGCCAGCAGCCGCGGUAAUACGGAGAGGGCUAGCGUUAUUCGGAAUUAUUGGGCGUAAAGGGCGCGUAGGCGGAUUAGUAAGUUAAAAGUGAAAUCCCAAGGCUCAACCUUGGAAUUGCUUUUAAAACUGCUAAUCUAGAGAUUGAAAGAGGAUAGAGGAAUUCCUAGUGUAGAGGUGAAAUUCGUAAAUAUUAGGAGGAACACCAGUGGCGAAGGCGUCUAUCUGGUUCAAAUCUGACGCUGAGGCGCGAAGGCGUGGGGAGCAAACAGGAUUAGAUACCCUGGUAGUCCACGCUGUAAACGAUGAAUGUUAAAUAUGGGAAGUUUUACUUU
rnacentral:rRNA from 1 species